AGUAUAAAAUAGUGUGUAAAAAUAAACAAAUCAAAGUUAAAUAACAGUGGAUUAAUUCGAAAGGGAAUAUGGUUGCGAUAAACAAUUUUUUUUUUAAAUAAAAUGAAGAAUAACCCCAAAAAGAAUUUAAAGAAAACAAUAGAAUUUUUAAUAGAAUGGCAGGCAAGAAUGCAUUGUAAAAUAAGUGAAUUGCAUAGAGUAAAAUAAUAAAAGAAUAUUCGUAGAAUGCAGAAAAUUGAACGAAUUCAAAACGAAAGAAACGAGACCAAAGAAAACAGUAACGAAAACCAAUUAAUGAUUAUCACAAUCCACAUACAGACAAACGUGAAUGAAUAGCAUUCAUAUAUAUAGUAUAUCGUAUGUAUGUAUAUAUGUACAUUGGUAUGCUUAUGAAUGUAAUUACACCAUAUGUGCAUUUAUAAAUGACAUUUAGUGAAUUUCGGUGUAUAGUAUGUAUUUACAACAGGUAGAAGUGUUAUGGAGUAUACAACGAACCAGUAGGAAUUGCAUAAUGCAUGAUAUGUACAACCUCGGUACAAAAGAGGUAGAUUGUUUGAGGAAACUGAAGUUCAAAACCGUACAGUCCAGCCAACAGCACAUUACCCCUUGCAUACUAAAAGAAUUCACAAUAUAUUCAAAUCAGCUUCUUUAAAUAACAACUUGUUUAGAGUGUUAUAUUUCAAAAAAAAUUUACCGUUAAUGAGAAGGCGCAUAAAUUAGUCGCAAAUUUCCUACUGGCCAUGUUCUAAAUAAAUAAUGGGAUGCCAUAUUUGAUGAAUAUGUGAUUUUAGGUGUCGACAAAAAUGAGCGAAUGAGUUUAAAUGUAUGUCAGAUCGGUAAUGUAUGAGAAGGAAAAUGCAGAUGUAGAGGUUAGAGUCAGGUAAACAUCGGCAAAUCAACUGAGGAUGCUGACAGUUUGCAAAGAUGAGUGCGCAGUAUUCAAAACAAAGUUUAAUGUCAUGAAUUGCUUGGAUAUCUAUAGAGGUGACAGCUCAGAUGGGGAUUUUAAUGCAUGCUUUGUGGGUCACUGAAUGAAUGAUAUGAGAUGGUGGUUGUAGAAGUGAAGGUAUACAAACAACUAAGUGAAGACAAGUUUGUUUUGUGAUUUUGCUGGUUUUGUUUUCACUUUACAACACUACCACUACAAUUACGUACAGCGAGUUAAUUAAGAAAGGAGAAGUUUCAACUGAAAUUGUGGUAAAUUUGAAAAAUAUAAAGAGAACAAACGAAUCGAAUCGAAUUCAGGUAAAGGGUCGUUUGUACGAACUGAUUGCCUUGGCUGGAUGUGGAAAAUCAGUGUAGGACAUUGGAUAUCUGGAAAAGGGUGGACAACGUCAGCCAGAGACUGUACGCAUGGGUUAAAGGAUGAAAUACAGAAAUUAAGUCAAAUUGGAAUUUGGAUAGCGUUUGAGUUUGCAAGCGACAGUGGGAGUACUACAAAGUGUUUACGGUCAUUUGGACUGAGGAGAAUAGGAAGUGGAGAUGAGUUUGGGAAACUAACUACAUACAUAGCCGGCCUGAUUGGCGUACACUAAUUUGCUGGAACCGUCCAGUGAAACCUCCUCGACCGAGUGAUGAUUUGCGGCAGUGGCUGCGGCGCUGGCAUAGCCCUUGGCGAUGGGCUUUUUCGAAUAUGGCGGAUCGUACUUAAGUGUAGUGGUUUUGCGUCUGUGUUGCAGGCGUGUACCGCGUUAUUGUUAAUUACCGACAUCAUACAAGUUCCCAUCAAUGUCGUUGUUGUUGUCAUCAUGUUUCCAUCCAUCAAGCAGCCACGUUCACAUCCAUUGAACCAUUUAUUUCAUUUUUUAAAUUUCAUUUUAUAUUGAAUAUUAUUAUUUUUUGAGUUAUUUUUUAAUUAUGCAUGAGCAUGCAUUUUGAUUUUUAAAUAAUUUAGUUUUAUUUAUGUUUAGGCAUUUACAUAAAAGUCGUUUUUUGCGGUUUUUAUUUCAUUUUGAUAAUUUAUAUUUGUUUAUGGUUUGAUUUUGUUUGGUAUUUCGCAAAUAUUAAUGUCAUAAUAUAUUUGGUUAUGUAAAUUUAUAUAUAAUUUUUGAUUGAUUGAAAAUUUAUUGGUUUUUGUUGGUGAUGCGAUGAUAGUUGAUUUAAUUAGCAAAUUAAUAGUUUUCGGAUUUUGAUCGAGUGGUAAACAUAUGUACGUAGGUAGAUAUGUACGUUUUAUUUUUGGUUUGUGGUUGUAUGAAAAAUUUGAACAACAAUAAAAAAAUGUGAGCUUGAUUAAAAUCGAUCAUUCAUAUUCAUAUAAUGAUUCAACCCAGUCAAUAUGUAUGUUUGUAAGUAAGUAUGUAUAUAGUUUACGUGUGUAAAUAUGCACUAAUAGUUAUAUAUGCUAAUAGAUUGCAUAUACGUUUGAAGAAUUGUAUAUAUCUUCUCGAGAAAUCAUAAAAUGUGCGCUUGUUAGUAGUUUAAUAAAUAAUUGCAUUAAGAUAAAAAUUAAAUGCUGGACACACUGGCAUAAGUAAGUAAAGACUAAAAGCCAAGGCAAAUGAAAAAAUAAACCAAAUUUUGCAAACACUAAAAAAAUUAAAAUUGUAAACCGGAAAUUAUUUUGCAUAUGCACUAAGCUGGCACUAAUAUUAUCUUGCAAAGUCCCCUUUCUUUUUAAACAUUUUAGUUUUUUAAUCCAUUUUCGCAUUUUGAAUUUUUGCACUCAAUAUUUUCUUAGUUUAUAACCAAUUGCAUAAGAAAUAGAACCAAACUUAAAGCGUUGUUAAUAUACCGUUGUAAUUUAAACAAUUUUAAUCAAAUUUUAUUUCUUAAGUUUACUAAAUUUGCAUUUAAAAAAAAUAUCAAUUUUAUGUUAAAUUUUCAAAGAUAAUAGUGUAAGAGAUUUUUAUUUUGCAUCAGUUUGAAAAUAUGUAUCUUUUUGUAACUAAAGAAGUUAACUGAAAUUUACAAGUGAUAAUAAAGUAGAAUAUAAUUAAAUUUAGGAGAACCUGAUGUUUAUUGUGCCCUCUUCUUUUUAUAAGUACUCUCCUAUGCUCAUCGCACUGAUAAAUUCCACGAUCUUGCUAGGUGCCAUUGCGGUAAUGUUCUCCUUCCUUGGUUUUAUGGAUCCAAGAGCCUUAUGCGUGCGUCUACACAUCGCUACACAAUCUAGGAACCAAGUAAUAAGUGUGACUAGUUCGCAGAAUGAGACUGAUGGCAAAGUGGAGUGAAGAAAGAUCAGUGAAGCGACGAAUUCAAUGUACAAUAGUACAGUAAUGUGGAGUCUUGUAGGUCGUGAAACGAACAAUUCAACAUUGACAACAGUGACAUUCUGUGAAUCCACUGAACAAAUAUUGCAACUUUCCGCUAUUUUGUUUCAUACUUCACUAUGUUCAUAGCCUAAGGUGAAGACAUAGUAUAUCGAAAAUUAAUGCAGUGAUAAAAUUUAUAAAUUUAACAGCUGAAAAGCAUGUAGAGAAGAUCCAAUAAUCUACUAAAAGAACAACUCUGUAGUUCCAGUCCCAAUAUAUUGUAGGCCCUGGGUUAGCAAUUGAUGAAACAACUGCACAAUUCAUCUUAAUUUCUGUAGUAGACAAUGAGUUUAAGUUGCUCGUGAAACCCCAUUUAUCUUCGCACUAUUGACCGACUUAGCCUACCAUUUCUGUGAGAGUUCACGCAAUCGUAUGCUAGAACUUGGCUUUGAUGAAAACGAUAACAAAAAUUUCAACUACUAAAUAUGAUCCAAGUAAUAAUUACAACAACAGAACCAGAAUCUUUUCUACAUAGAACUGUUAAAUAUGUUGGUACGGACCACGUUUUAUGGUUUCUAGAUAUGUUGACAGGUACACAUACGGGUGCAGGUUGAACGAGAGAUUAGUCAUCAAACUUUUGAUUGCAAUUUGGAUUCCUAUAAUUAUUUGACCCAUCUUUAUAUGAUAUUUCCAUCCCAGAUCUAAAUUAUAUGGGUAUUUGAUCGAUAUUUUUAAAAGCUCGUUAAACGAAAGUUUCUCUUUAGUUGUCAUAAUCUCGCUUCUACAACAAAAGUUUCAAAACUUACUAUGUGGUUCUUCAAGGUUUGUUAAAGCUUGAAAAAGCAGGAUUUCAAUACAAAAUCUUAUAAUAUAAUAGCUAAAUAGUUUAUAAAAACAGCAAAAACCUGGAUUUGACAGAUAGGAAGAGUGAUCUAGAUUAUAUCGGCUUGUUAUGAUUUUAUACGGGGUGUGGGAAUCGAGUCGAUAUCGCGUUUUGUAAUCUAUAUACUUAUACCCUGAACAGGGUAUAUUAAGUUUGCCUUCGGAGAGCCUAUAAAAUAUAUACAAUACAUAAAUAAUCAGUAUGACACGCUGAGUGGAUUUAACCAUUCGUUUGUCCACGAACUGUCCUUUUCUCACUAAGAGGCUGCUCAUUUGUCGAAACGAUAUCGGACCACUAUAGCUAUAGUUGCCAUACAAACUGACCGUUCACAAUCAAAAUAAAGAUUUUCAUAAAAGAAAGUAACCUUCAUUCGACUUGAAAGUUGUUUAUAGAAUGUGUUCAGAAAAAACCAACAACACGUUUUGCGUUUUCAAAUUUAGUUAUUCAUAUAGUUGCUAUAAGAAAUGCACCAGUGAAGGGUAUUAUAGCUUCGGUGUCACCGAAGUUGACGUUUUUACUUUUUUUUAACUUUACGAAUUAGUUUGCAGUAUAUUUGUGGUUAAUUUUAAAAGUAUUUGACUACUAUAGCAAACAAUCGCAAUAACAAUAAAAAUCUCUUACACACGCUUUAA